UUGACCAUGCUGCUAGUUUAACUGUACACACGCCAAAUAGCCUACACGCCAAUCGCUUUUGGGAACGGGCAGAAGAAAUGUACGCCGAUCUACCGAGGCAAUCUACGGAAGCAAAAAGGACAAUAAAAUGGACACCAAACAACAAAGAGGUAUACAGACGAGGAGGCAUACAAAAGUUAUAUUUGUUUAUUAUGCAGAUCACAUUUACCAUCCUCCUCCCUUGCCUCUUCAAUGAAUAUCCCAUAGGCCUCUACAUUAUGGACAAGGAAACCUGUUCGAUCACCAUGCACUGCAAAAAAUCAUUCUGGCUAUGGAUACUGAGAACGUCAACAUCGACACGCCAGAGGAUAUGCUGUACAAAAUGUGACUUGGGGCUCUGCUGGGAGUUUACCUCAUAUUUCCAUUUUUUUUUACUUCUGCUUCACCACUAAAAUCAUAAACACUGACAACAAAAAUAUUGUGUUAUUGUUAUGGGUAUCAUUUAAAAAUAUAUAUAUAAAAUAAUAAAAGGGGUAGUUUAACCCCAAAAGGUGA